CGACCGGCGCACGGGUGAGUAACGCGUAUCCAACCUGCCCACCACUUGGGGAUAACCUUGCGAAAGUAAGACUAAUACCCAAUGAUAUCUCUAGAAGACAUCUGAAAGAGAUUAAAGAUUUAUCGGUGAUGGAUGGGGAUGCGUCUGAUUAGCUUGUUGGCGGGGUAACGGCCCACCAAGGCAACGAUCAGUAGGGGUUCUGAGAGGAAGGUCCCCCACAUUGGAACUGAGACACGGUCCAA
rnacentral:rRNA from 1 species